rnacentral:rRNA from 1 species
ACAUGCCUACAACAUAGUGUUAAUGCACCGGAUCCCAUUAGAACUAUGUAGUUAAGCACACUUAGGCUAGAGUAGUACUAGGAUGGGUGACCGCUCAGGAAGUCCUAGUGUUUUACAUGCC